rfam:Helianthus annuus linkage group 8, whole genome shotgun sequence.
UCACUUACCUGGACGGGGUCAAUGGGUGAUCAAGAAGGUCCAUGGCCGGUGACCUCCAUUGCACUUAGGAGUGGUGCCUGCUUAAGGCCGGCCCAAGUGGUCGAGCCUACGUCAAAAUUUGUGGCCAUGGAAAUUGUAAUUUUGCUUAAGC